rnacentral:rRNA from 1 species
UGAGGAAUAUUGGUCAAUGGGCGCAAGCCUGAACCAGCCAUCCCGCGUGCAGGAAGACGGCGCUAUGCGUUGUAAACUGCUUUUCCAGGGGGAGAAACUUGCGCACGUGUUGCGCAAUUGACGGUACCCUGGGAAUAAGCAUCGGCUAACUCCGUGCCAGCAGCCGCGGUAAUACGGAGGAUGCGAGCGUUAUCCGGAUUCAUUGGGUUUAAAGGGUGCGUAGGCGGACUAUUAAGUCAGUGGUGAAAUCCUGCAGCUUAACUGCGGAACUGCCAUUGAUACUGAUAGCCUUGAGUUUGGUUAAGGUAGGCGGAAUGUGUAAUGUAGCGGUGAAAUGCUUAGAUAUUACACAGAACACCAAUUGCGUAGGCAGCUUACUGAGCCGACACUGACGCUGAGGCACGAAAGCGUGGGGGUCGAACAG